rnacentral:tRNA from 1 species
AAGAAGCUAGUUUAAAAAAAACAUUUAACUGUCAAAUAAAAAAUACAUACAAUGUGCAUCUUG